UACGUAGGGGGCAAGCGUUGUCCGGAAUCAUUGGGCGUAAAGGGCGCGUAGGCGGUUGGAUAAGUCAGCUGUGAAAACCACGGGCUUAACUCGUGGCCUGCAGUUGAGACUGUCUGGCUUGAGUGUGGGAGAGGAGAGUGGAAUUCCUGGUGUAGCGGUGAAAUGCGUAGAUAUCAGGAGGAACACCGGUGGCGAAGGCGGCUCUCUGGACCACAACUGACGCUGAGGCGCGAAAGCUAGGGGAGCAAACAGG
rnacentral:rRNA from 1 species